rnacentral:tRNA from 1 species
CCUUUGAUAGCUCAGUUGGUAGAGCGGAGGACUGUAGGUGGGAUGAUGCCAAUCCUUAGGUCGCUGGUUCGACUCCGGCUCGAAGGA